GAAAGUACACACGAAAUGAUAACACAACAUAUAUAGUGUUCGUUACAAAGCCAGCUAUUUUUAUGUAGCCAGUGAAAUUAAAAUAGUUGGGAAAGGCUCAAACUAAAUGCGUGCUAAAAAUGUUAAUUGUGCUUGUUAUUUGUCAUUGUUGCAUGUAGAUAUCAACCAAAACAAAUACCCAAGGCGACAAAAGAAAUGUCCAAUGCAAAAUCCUAACGUACACAAGCAAAAGAAAAAUAUGCCAAACAUGGAAAUCCAUUUGUGAAACAUAUCUUAAAAACAAUUACAAAAGGUUGUUGUCUGUGUUGUGGAAGUUUCCUGUCGCUGACAAAAUGUUGAAAUCUAAUGUGUCUUUCGUAGAAGCCUCUUUGCCUUUAUAUUGCUUAGUAACAACAAGAAGUAUGUUCCAUACAUGUCCACUGAGAUUGGAUUUUCUAUGAAAGUUAGAUACGAAAACAAAUGGCCUGCCGCAAAAGCCUGUAUAAAAUGUGUGCAAAAUAAUAGGAAUGGACGCUGGAAAGUCCAUGACAAAUUGUCAAAUCGCCUUAUUACUGUGUGUGCCUAAUUGGGUGCAACUGCCGUCCCUGCCUAUUCAUUGGCAUAGUUCCUGUAUUGCCCCAAAAAAUAUGUUCGUAGGUAGCAGGUAACAAAAUCUAUGGGUGAAUACCAUCUAACGAUGUCCAUACAAAAUGAUGCACACGCAUGUCUGUCCGUCAAAGCUAACAACACAAUCAAAUACCUAAGGAUCUGUAAUGGGAAGAUAAGUAUAUUUUUUGAAAUUCAUCUAUUGCAAUGUUCUAAUUCGUUUUCUCCUCUUUUCAGGUAAUCUUUCUCAUAAAUUAUUUUAAAUAUAUAUCUUUCAUUUCUAAAUUUCAGGUAACAUCACGAAACAUCUAGUAUGCUGCUAUGAUCUGACAUCUAUAAAAUAAUUGCGACCUAAUUGUGGCAAGAGCCAUUGUCCUGCUGCCGUUAACUUCUGUCCAACCGUCUUGAGCAUUUGCAUGUGUGUUUCGAAUUUUCGCACUCCCCUCCACACAGCAACCGAAAACACGAAACCUCAAACGUAAACGAAAAUCAAAAUUCCAUCGUACCAAGCAGCAUGCCCCUCACCGUCGACCCGAUCUCUUACGUCGUAUCAUCGCACAACAAAAAUUACUUGGAUAGCUAUCGGGGAUCACCGGCACAUACGACGACAUCGAUGGCGUCGGCAACAGGAAUGAAUUCAAUGCAUAUAUCAACAUCACUAACGACAUUGAGCAAGUCCCAGCUGAGUGCCAGCCAACCUCACCUACAGCAACUGCUCACAGGAACUGCAAAAAAUCAUCCACAACUACAUGUAAACGACGUUGCAAUUACUCACAAUCUAAGCACGGAAAAACUUCGGCCACUGGAAGUUCGCAGCAAUGUGAUACCCGUGCACACAAACGUUCAAAAAGGACAACUGCAAAUACUAUCCCAAGUUACGCCGAUGAGUAAUAUUUUACGAGCUCAAUUAGAUGAGUUGAAGCAUUUACCCCAACCGUUGGGUUCAAACUUCUUGUCGAGCAAUGAACAGCAAAUAUGUAAAAAUUUUAAUUUACCUCCUACGUCUUAUCUUUCCUUAAAAACAGUACUACUUAGUGGAGCACCUGUAAACUCCAGCAACUUGUCUCCAAUUGAGAGCUCAAUACGUAAAUAUUUUAUUAAAGUUGGAUGGCUGAGUCAUUGAUUUAACUGCUUACUAUCAUUGUUACCUCUAAAUAAACUUUGUGGUUGAAGAAUUAGGCAAAUGGAAUUUUUCGGCUUUGUUUGUCAUAAAACCGGCAUGUAACUUUAAAAUCCAUAGAAUAAUCAGUAAGAACUAAUUUUGUUCAGUUAUCUAAGUCCUAUAGUACGUAUUUAUUUUUAGUCUUAUGCACAUUAAAUAUAUGUAAUAUAAUAACUCUUCAUUGAUUGGAAGGAAAACAA